rnacentral:rRNA from 1 species
UACGUAGGGUGCAAGCGUUGUCCGGAAUUAUUGGGCGUAAAGGGCUCGUAGGCGGUCCAUCGCGUCGGGAGUGAAAAGCUGGGGCUCAACCCCAGUCCUGCUUCCGAUACGGGUGGACUAGAGGUAUGCAGGGGAGAACGGAAUUCCUGGUGUAGCGGUGAAAUGCGCAGAUAUCAGGAGGAACACCCGUGGCGAAGGCGGCUCUCUGGGACGGUAUUGACGCUGAGACGCGAAAGCGUGGGGAGCGAACAGG